rnacentral:piRNA from 1 species
UAGAACACGUCUCUCCCUUCAUCUGAUC